CUCUUUGUCACCGGACCGCCCGGUACAGGUAAAACUGUGGUGCUGCUGCUGAUGGCCAUACAGUGGCUGCGGUGUGGUCACCACGUCUACAUUGUCAGCAGUUGGCCGGCAAGUCGUGCAGCGUGCAGCAUGUUGUAUCACCUGUUGCUGCAGACAGUAAAGACACAACAGUCAGCAGGUGUGUCACCCGGUCAGCCUCACCUCUUACAGUACCAUCUUGAUCACAUUAAAGAGCUGCAGAGGGCCACCAACGAUCUGUUACAGGCUGUGAAGGGAGGGUCGUUGUAUGUCAUCGCUGAUGAUGCAGCGAGUUAUUAUCACACUGGUAACGUCAACUACUUCUACCGUUUAUGUCAUGCGCUGUUGAAACAAGUUCCUGGACUCCAUCUUUGGGCGACAAGUUGUUUAUUUGGAACUUUUCCCAACGGUUGGGAAAUCGAGAAUUUAACCAGACCUCUCCGCUGUCCACCGGCCGUCAUCAGGGAAGUGGAACAGGACGAGCUGAUCACUAAACAUCGUCAUAUAGCACCAUACAGUUAGCACAGUGUGCACGACCACCCAGACAACCCUCCAGUCACGCGACUGUAUCACCGAGGUCAGGGUCACUCGGGUCAAUGGCCAGAUGAGUGUGUCACGUGCGGUCGUCAGGUGGCCAGCUUCCUACACAGUCUCCGUGUUGGUGUUACAGGGACUGGCACAACAACAUCUGCAACAGCACCACCCUGUCUACAGUGGAGAGACGUGCUGGUGUUGUACUGCGCUGACGUUAGAGACAACUCGGGUAUGGUGGAGGGACUGGAACAAGCGGUAUCCCAGUGCGGUGAUGAAGAUGACGACAUCGAUGACGUGCCACGGCCCGCAGUGACGUGGUGUGGGGUGACGAGUGGACAACGUGUCCGUGGUCUGGAGAGAAAAGUCGUUGUCAGUCUGAAGGAUUCUGUUUAUGUCUCUCAGCAUUGGUCUGAGAUACUGUUCGACCCUCUGUCUGCCCAACUUUACUCCAUGUCUCUCUGUACGUCACAGCUUGUGAUCGUCUCCCCUGGCGACUAGUCACCUGGACGUGACGAACACUCACUCGUGUUAUACUGGGCAGACGUAGGACGCCAAUACAUUUACAAAGAUUACGACUUCCGGUCCGUGUCUCUGUUGACUCAACAACUAGUGUCACAACGAAAAGUUGAGACGAAGUUUAUUUUCUAAAUAUUUAUUGAGAACAAUAUGAUUUGGAAUCUUGCUGAUGGCCUAAUGAACAAUGAGUUUGUAUAUAUAUAUUAUUAAUCACACGACUUCAGACAAAGUCGUAAUAGAGCACAGUUGGCCGUGUGACGGUUUGCGUAGGUUGUGGUGAUAGACACAAUACCAUCAAACUCACCCUAUCCAUCCCAACUGUUAGAUGCUGCCAGAAGCCAUCUUCAUCCUAGAUAAAAGGCGUAGGUCUGUCAUGUUAACUAGCUUCCUUCCUAAGAGGCUCACAUGUGAGUUUAUUCAUGAUUAGUAAUGUUGUUUAUUCUUUCUUAGUUCAUAUGUUAUUCGUUUGUUUUCCUGUCCCUCGUAUGCUGUCCGCGCUUCGUUCUUGUUCAUAUGUUCUUAGACGCUAAGGAGUGUAAGUAAAGACACACAUACAUAUAUACUGUAUACUUUUUUUGGACCCAAAUGUUUAUAUUAGGUCAGUUAGUCCUCAAGAUAUACCAUAGGCAGUGAAUUACACGAUUCACACCACAAGAAUACACGGUGAAUGUUGCAUUAUUUAUGUUGUGUUCUCCGCAUCAACUAAGCAACUAAGGACUGCUCUGUUCAAUACCAAUACUUUAUUUGAUGCCGCCUUUGCACAAUCAGUACAAAGGUCACCACAAGGCUGUAUUGAAUCUGAAUGUUCUGUAUUAUCAUCGGAUUACGCGCUCUUGCGGUAGUUUCUGCAUAAGGUCCAUGGUCAGCAGCAAUGCAGGUCAUAGGUCAACGCCAUUGGCUCUGCUUCUUCGACUUGUUAUCGCGCGUCAUAACAGCUGCUAUCAAGACGCCUGCGAGAGCAGCUGUGGCACCAAUGGCACCAAUGGCAGCUGUCUUCACCCAAAAGUCCACCUGGUCACUGCUGGCCUCUCCAUAGCGACACCAGGUGGCGAAGUGCUCGCAGUUCUUCCUGAGGACAUUGUAGCCAACCUCGUUCAGUCUAGUCCAGGCUUUCUGUACGAUAUCUCGGGGAGACCGUGGGCUGCGAAAAGACAUUUUUAUUAUUUGAUUAAAUUUAUGUUAAUAUGCAAUGGGAUUAUUUUGUUAGUUUUCUUGUUUGUUUUCUUGUUCGUUUAGUUGUUUUGUUUUUUCUUCGUCAAGUUAAUCCAUCAGCGAAUCUGUAUUUAAUAGAUCGUCGCUCUUUAAAGUUCAAACAAAUGGAAAAAAACUGAGAGGUUCAGAAGUUAAUUCUUUAACAACUUUCUAUUUUACUAUAUUUCAGACUCAAACAGCAUACUUCAUUGAGAAAAAUACGGGGUCUGUGAGACCUAGAGGCAGAAGUUAAUAAUUGUGAACUCCGUGAACAUAAUGAGAUGUGGUCUAACUUUUAAAAUGUCUGCAAAAAUAUAUAAAAUAGUAAUACCAUACAAUGCAAUCGUAAAAGAAGAUAACAGCUGAUGUGUUGAAAAAAAUUGAUGAUUGCUAGUAUGUUAUAAGAAAGUAUAAGAGGCUGCACACCUGUCAAGGUUCCGAAGGAGGAAGUUUUAAAAAGGUCACGAUGAGAAAAUAUAGAAUUAUGCAGGUUAAGAGAUUAAGUUGAUUAUUUGAAUAUUUGUUCUUCAUAAAUAGCAAUAGACGCAAGAAAACGCAAGUAUAA